rnacentral:lncRNA from 1 species
CAGAGCAAGACUCCGUCUCAAACAAAAAAAAAAUUUUAUGCCCACAAAUUUGAUAACUUAGAUGAAAUAGACCAAUUCCUUGAGAGAGACAAUCUACCAAAACUCACCAAAAGAGAAAGAUAAUCUUAAUAGACCUAUAUCUACUUUUAAAAUUGAAUCAAUAAUCUUCCAAAAAAGAAAGCAUCAAGCCCAAGUGUUUUCACUGGCGAAUUCUAAGAACUAAUACCACUUCUCUACAAUCUCUUCCAGAAAAUAGAAGCGGAGGGAAUAUUUCCUUAGUUCUGUGAAACCAGCAUUAUUCUAAUACAGAAACAAAAGAUACUACAAGAGGGGAAAACUACAGACCAAUAUAUCUACCAUGUACAAAAUGUAUCUUUUUUCUAUCUUUUGUAUUGGAGAUAUAAAAAUUCUGGACAACAUAUUAGCACACGAAAUCUGCUGUGGUUUGAAUGUUACUGUCCAAAAUUCAUGUUGAAAUGUCCAAUGCAAGAGUAUUAAGAGGUGGGGGUUUUGCAGCCUUCAGCGUUGUUCCGUUCUGCCCCUUCAGCCAUGUAAGGACACAGUGUUCUUCCCCUCUGAAGGUUGAGGCAAUGAAACACCAUCUCGGAAGCGGAAAGUAGCCCUCACCAGAAAACUGAACCUGCUGGUGCCUUGAUCUUGGACUACCUAGCUCCAGAGCUGUGAACACAUUUCUGUUCUUUUAUAUUACCCAGUCUCAAGUAUUUUGUUAUAGCAGCACAUAUGAACUUAAACAGAAUUCAACAAUGUAUAAAAAGAAUUACAUGCUAUGACAAAGUGAGAUUUAUCCCAGGUAUGCAAGGCUGGUUUGACAGGAAAAUCAGUCACUAUAGUCCAUUACAUCAAUAGACUAACUAAGAAAAAUCAUAUCAAUGCAGAAAAAGUAUUUCACUCAAUAGAUGCAGAAAAAGUAUUUCACAAAAUCAAUCAUCCAUUCACCAUAAAAACUCACAGCAAACUAGGAAUAGAGGGGAAUAUCCUCAACUGGAUAAAGAAUAUUUGCAAAAAACCUAUAACCAACAUCAUAAUUAAUGGUGAGAAACUAUAUGCUUUCCCCCUCGGAUCAGAAACAAGAAUGUCUCCUCUCACUACUUCUAGUCAACAUUGCAGGAGGUUCUAGCUAAUACAAUAUGACAAGAAAAGAAAAGGCAUCCAGAUUGGGAAGGACGAAAUAAAACUGUCUUUGUUCACAGAUGACAUAAUUAUUUAUAUAAAGAAAUCCCAAAGAACCAACAAAAAGUGAUCAUAAGAAGGUUGCAGAGACAGCAUCUCACAGUGUUGCCCAGACUGGAGAGCAGUGCACUGCAACCUCUAACUCCUGGGCUCAAGUGAUCCUUCUGCCUCAGCCUCCGGAGUAGCUGGGACUACAGAGAUGGUCAUAAAGAAAUUCCCUGACCUAUCUGGCUUGACAGUAGGUCAUAAGACCCCCAUUCCAGGAUCCUGUUCCAUACCUGAGAGGAAGAAAUGCUACAACAGAGACACCAAGAAGAACCUCAACAGACAGGUCUUGCUGGGCUUCCUCCUCUCGGUCUACUACAUUAGAUCACACCCUUUGCCACAGUUGUACAUGACUGUCCACUCUUCAUUGCAUCGAAGCAUACAAAUGGACAGUUUUUCCUAUAUCUCUGGGUCUUCAUUUUGAAGGCUCCCAUGUCAUGUAAAACCAUGAUUAAAUAAACUUGUUACACUUUUCUCUUGUUAACCGUCUCUUUUGUUAUAGAAGUGUCUGCUGCGACCCUUAUGAUGGGAAGAAAAGGUAUCACACCCUUUUCACCCCUACACAGAUCAUAGGGUCUGUAUCAUAA